rnacentral:rRNA from 1 species
GAUGAACGCUGGCGGCGUGCCUAAUACAUGCAAGUCGAGCGAACGGACGAGAAGCUUGCUUCUCUGAUGUUAGCGGCGGACGGGUGAGUAACACGUGGAUAACCUACCUAUAAGACUGGGAUAACUUCGGGAAACCGGAGCUAAUACCGGAUGACAUUUUGAACCGCAUGGUUCAAAAGUGAAAGACGGUCUUGCUGCCACUUAUAGAUGGAUCCGCGCUGCAUUAGCUAGUUGGUAAGGUAACGGCUUACCAAGGCAACGAUGCAUAGCCGACCUGAGAGGGUGAUCGGCCACACUGGAACUGAGACACGGUCCAGACUCCUACGGGAGGCAGCAGUAGGGAAUCUUCCGCAAUGGGCGAAAGCCUGACGGAGCAACGCCGCGUGAGUGAUGAAGGUCUUCGGAUCGUAAAACUCUGUUAUUAGGGAAGAACAUAUGUGUAAGUAACUGUGCACACCUUGACGGUACCUAAUCAGAAAGCCACGGCUAACUACGUG